GAUGAAGAACGCAGCGAAAUGCGAUAAGUAGUGUGAAUUGCAGAAUUCAGUGAAUCAUCGAAUCUUUGAACGCACAUUGCGCCUCCUGGCAUUCCGGGAGGCAUGCCUGUUCGAGCGUCAUUUCAACCCUCAAGCACAGCUUGGUGUUGGGACUCGCGUUAAUUCGCGUUCCCCAAAUUGAUUGGCGGUCACGUCGAGCUUCCAUAGCGUAGUAGUAAAACCCUCGUUACUGGUAAUCGUCGCGGCCACGCCGUUAAACCCCAACUUCUGAAUGUUGACCUCGGAUCAGGUAGGAAUACCCGCUGAACUUAAGCAUAUCAAUAAGCGGAGGA
rnacentral:misc_RNA from 1 species